rnacentral:rRNA from 1 species
ACAUGUCUGUAUGAGAGCUAUAUAAAGUCUGGCCUGCCCAUUGGGGUACUAAAAGGCCGCGGUAUUGUGACCGUGCGAAGGUAGCAUAAUCAUUAGUCUUUUAAUUGGAGGCUGGUAUGAAUGGUCGGACGAGAAGUAAGCUGUCUUUAUCUCAUAGAUUGAAUUUAACUUUUAAGUGAAAAGGCUUAAAUGGGUUAGAGGGACGAUAAGACCCUAUAAAGUUUAUACAUGGAGUUAAUCAAGAGUGAUUUGGAAUAGUAAAGUUCAUUAUUAGCAAGAUGUUUAGUUGGGGUGACUAGAAUAUAAGUUAUAUAACUGUUUUUUGUUUUAAUCAGAGAUAUCUGUUUAUAUGGUCCCUUUUUAGGAUUAGAGAGUAAAUUACUUUAGGGAUAACAGCGUAAUUUUUUUUAAGAGUUCUUAUCGACAAAAGAGUUUGCGACC